rnacentral:lncRNA from 1 species
GGCCGUCUUUAGUCUCUGCAGGGCCUCUAAAAAUAAAGGUACGAGUUCUUGACCCAGCCAACCUCCAAGCUGCAAACGUCGAUCCCUUGUUUUCCAGAAUUCCAGUGUUUUUUUCAAGCCUUGUGAAUCUAGGAAUGUUCAGCGAAGAAUGUUCUUUCACACCAUAUAGACAUAUUCAAAGGUCAUUUGUCCUAAAAGCAUUUGAAUUUUAUGGAGGCAGAGAAUUAGAUUG